UACGGGAAGGCAGCAGUGGGGAAUAUUGCACAAUGGGCGCAAGCCUGAUGCAGCCAUGCCGCGUGUAUGAAGAAGGCCUUCGGGUUGUAAAGUACUUUCAGUCGUGAGGAAGGUGUUAAGGUUAAUAACCUUAGCAAUUGACGUUAGCGACAGAAGAAGCACCGGCUAACUCCGUGCCAGCAGCCGCGGUAAUACGGAGGGUGCGAGCGUUAAUCGGAAUUACUGGGCGUAAAGGGCACGCAGGCGGUUAAUUAAGUUGGAUGUGAAAUCCCCGGGCUUAACCUGGGAAUGGCAUUCAAGACUGGUUAGCUAGAGUCUUGUAGAGGGGGUAGAAUUCCAUGUGUAGCGGUGAAAUGCGUAGAGAUGUGGAGGAAUACCGGUGGCGAAGGCGGCCCCUGGACAAAGACUGACGCUCAUGUGCGAAAGCGUGGGGAGCAAAACAGGGAUUAAGAUACC
rnacentral:rRNA from 1 species